UUUGACCUCGGAUCAGGUAGGGAUACCCGCUGAAC
rnacentral:rRNA from 16 species